UCUGAGUUAAUUCUUAUUAAAGAUUCUAACUGCCUCCAUGAUCCACUGCACCUAGCUAUUAAAUGACUACCGCUACCCGUACCCCUGUUCAUGUUACUGACAGGGAGUGUUUAUUUUCCUAUGCUUGUUUUGUAUGUGUCUAUUUAAUGUAGUUUACCCUGCAGGACUUUUGAUGGAAUAUUUUUAUUCCUAGAGGCCCUAUAAAGUGAUAGUUGCUAGAUUAGAAGAAGUUCAUGGAGUCAAAAGGAGAAAGAAUUGAGAAACUCUAGUGGGAGUUUCGGCUAUCGUGCUAUGUGGAAGAAUCUGCGGGUAUUGUGUGGACCCUCCGGCACUGUUGUAUCCUUUCAUGGUCGGUGGCUCGCUCUAUGAUAAUCUCCACAAGUUCAAGGUAUCCAACCCUUUGACUAUGGAAGCGAGGCUGUCCAUCCUGAUAGAUGUUUUCACAGACUAGCGGAUACGAAGGCAACACCUGUUAGCCAGGCAUUUUCAUCACAGCUGCUGACACUUAUUAACUCAACAACAAACGGAUACCAUCUAAAAGACCUCAGAUCGCUACUGUUCUCCAUACCCUUACAACGAUGCACAAGGAAAUGUGAUAUAAAAUAAAACCCUAAAACUAAAACUGUUACAUAUUGCUCACAUCAAUUUCAUUGCUAUUUUAUUUUCCCCCUAGUUGUACGUACCAUCACUGAUUAACAUCAUAUAAUCAUCACUCAUUCAAAGAAAAAGUGGUGCUUUUUUUUUUGGCUUUUUAAUUGAUUGUUGCCCUCUAUUGAACCAUUCUAAUUAUUGCUCUUUAUUCACGUAUUUGUUGCCCUUCUAACUAAAAUGUACAUACGUAUGGAUCUUACACAUUUUGAUCAUUAAUUUUUUCAAGCAAUAAUACAGAAUCAUGCAUGAAGUUGCAAUCAAUAAAUAAACUCUAGAAAAAUUACUCACUUGCUUACUUACUACUCAGAUAACUAGUAAGUCAGUCAGACAAGUGCGGUGAAAUUGAACACUCUCUCUUCAGUAUCUUGCCUUGCUAUGACUGCCAAAGGUCCUUUUCGUCUCAGCGAGGGUUCCAAAUGCAUUGGGAGAAGACAGAACAUUAUCCCGUGCCAGUUGAGUAUGCCGACUAUUACGGUGAAGUGGGUGAAGAUAGUGAAGAUGGUGAAGUG